GGGAGACAGAAGACAUUGUGAAAGCUGCAGAGAGACUCAGUAUCUACAAAAGGAUUUGGACACUUGUUAAAUUAGAUGAGGAAAUCACACCCAUACAAAAAGGAUUGCUGAAGGGAACUUCCCCAGCAGAAAACAGUUCUGUACAGACAGUGCAAUAUGUUCUCCAUCUACACACCAGAGAAGUUUUACACCCACUCCUCAAAACAGCUUUCACUCCAGAAGAGGCAAAAACUGUGCUUCUGUACUUUCCAGUUUUCUUUGCUUCAACAAAAGAACUCACUCUUAUCACUUCAGCCUUUUCCUCAGAGAUGCAACUGAUAUUUUCUGGUUUAUAGAAUUCUAACAACAUAGAAAUGUCAUCAGAAACCUGCUCUUACAGCUUACUAACUUUUAUAAGAUUUUGGAGAAGCUUUAUUUUCACAUCUAUUUUUGCAUUUGU